rnacentral:rRNA from 1 species
UACGAAGGGUGCAAGCGUUGUUCGGAAUUAUUGGGCGUAAAGGGUUCGUAGGCUGGAAGUUAAGUCAAUUGUGAAAUCCCCGAGCUUAACUUGGGACGUGCAGUUGAAACUGAUUUUCUUGAGUAUCGGAGAGGGUAGUGGAAUUGCUGGUGUAGGAGUGACAUCCGUAGAGAUCAGCAGGAACACCAGAGGCGAAAGCGACUGCCUGGCCGAUUACUGACGCUGAGGAACGAAAGCGUGGGGAGCAAACAGG